ACAACUGACUCUAGCCAAUAUACAACUGACUCUAGCUAGUCAAUUUACAACUUACCUUAACCCCUUUACAAAUUGACAAAGCAUAUUUAUGACUGACGGCAUCAACUAGAUCUUCCUAUAAAUUUAAAGCUUGCAUGUACAUCUUUUCCCUUAAUUUUCGCAAUACUUAUUUUCUUUAAACCAACAAAUUUUUUCAAGCAAUUUAAUUUCGGGUUAAAAAAAAGUAAAUUGUAAAAUGUUGUGAAUAUUUCAAACUUUGAUCUUCUUUGAUGUUAAUUUUAAAAAAUUAAAAAUAAAUCAGUUGGAAAGAGAUAAUUUCAAAAAUUCAAUAAGAAUCCCCAAAAAUAAGAUGGUUUACAUAAAUCUUUAAUAAUUAUUUUAAAAUGAUUUUAUUCCUUGCAACUUUUGUUUAAGCACUCUUCUUUCAACCACCAAAAUAUGGAGCAAAAUGGUGAAAUUCUUUAUUACAAAUGAUUACUUUCCAGCAAAAUUAAAUUUGAUUUACAAUCUCACUAGCCUCUGAUAAAGGCAGAUACUGUAAAUUCAGAAAGUUUUGCAUGCAUUUUUUUGAUAAAACCUUUCGGAAUUUCAAGUCCUCAAUGCUCUUCAACUUCGUACUUUAUUAUUUGGCACUUUUUUAUUUUUUUGAUUUGAGCGUCACUGAUGAGUCUUUUGUGGACGAAACGCACGUCUGGCGUACAAAAUUUCAAUCCUGGUAUCUAUGAUGAGUUUAUUUAUCAUUGAAAUGGGAGAUGAAUUACAGCCAUAAAAUGUUGCUAACAAAUAAUGCUUUCAAAAUUUGAGUUUUAAAUUAAGCGAAACCUGCUCUUUUGCAAUAUUCACAACAAUAAAAAAACAUUGCAAAAAUUUACAUAAUUAUAGUAAUUUCAAAUAAUCUACACUGACUCUGUAAAUUAUGAAUACGAACAUUUUCAACGGCCAUCACCUAUACAUUGAUAUCCUCUAAUAGACUUAACUAACUCAUAAAUGAUGUCAGGCAUGUAUGUAUAUUAUUAUGUUUUUUCUGCUAUCAGAAUUUUUGUGACAUCUCUGCCAUAUUUGAAUGAUGAUUUUAGAAUACACAAAUUAAUAUAAAAACCAAAUAAUGAACUCCAAAUUGAAUAAGAGUCAGCUGAGAGAGUCACAUGAACUCCCAAUGGAUCAAGAGUCAGCUGAGAGAGUCACAUGAACUCCAAAUGGAGUGAGAGUCAGCCAAGAGAGUCACAUGAACUCCAAAUGGAGCCCAAAUGGAGUGAAAGUCAGUUGAGAGAGUCAUGUGAACUCCAAAUAGAGCGAGAGUCACAUGUACUCCAAAUGGAGCAAGAGUCAGCUGAGAGACCACGUCACUCAGUCAAUAUUUCAUGAUAAGGAAUUGGACAAAAUCAGCAAAAUUACAAAUCGGACAACAACUCUGAUGUCUAAAGAUGUGAAGCUGCAAUUAUAUGUAGCUUGUGAGUUGAAUUACACAUAUUUCAGUCACCAAUUUGCGACAGUUUAAGUUACGGAGUGGUGAUUUCAGUCAUUCUUCCAGUUUUUGUGUCAGGAGCACUCACCUUUUAAUGAAGAUAGUAUACUGUGAACAUGUAACGUGGGACUGAGAGUUCUGCCAUUCAUUGCUCUAUAUUUCUCUCUAAUUUUUUGUGUAUUUAAAAUUUGUUCAGACCAGUUGAUAAAUUUUUAAAACAUUACAUUUUAAAUAAAUUUUUAUGCAUAUUUUAUGCAUAUUUUCCAUCCAAUUUUUUUUGGAGUUUUUCAUAAAAUCACUGGAAUAACAACCCAAUCAAUAUUCAUUUAUCCACUCUCAAUAAUCAAAUACUCAAAUUUUAAUUGAAGAUAAAUAUUGAUAAAUUCAUCAGCGCCAUUCCCAGUUUUUAUGUGAAGGAUUAUUGCUUCAGUUUUAGUAUCUAAUUUUUAGUGUUGUCUAUCUUAUGACUUCAGAUGGUUCAUGGUUUCUCCUGUCAGACAGACAAUUCAUGACAGCUAGAAAAAAAUUGUCAUGACAAAAUGUGUUGAUGUUUUUGAACCUGGUAUGAAUUUUUUUAAUUUUCACAUCACAUGCAGAAACUAGAAGCAUGCAUAGUAAAAGUUUGGUAGACAGUUUACGCUACAGAUUCAUUAUAUUUCAGAUUUUAUUAUAAUAAUAUAGUAUGAAGUGUAACUACAUAGAAAUUCUUAUAAUCUGUAACUUAUUGUCAGGUGUAACUAAAGUCUUUAUUGUCAGGUGUAACUAAAGUCUUUAUUGUCAGGUGUUCUACAGGACAAUAAGAAUCAUUGGUUUGUACCAACAAAGUCUGUAUGUCAGGUGUUCUACAGGACAAUAAGAAUCAUUGGUUUGUACCAACAAAGUCUGUAUGUCAGGUGUUCUACAGGACAAUAAGAAUCAUUGGUUUGUACCAACAAAGUCUGUAUGUCAGGUGUUCUACAGGACAAUAAGAAUCAUUGGUUUGUACCAACAAAGUCUGUAUGUCAGGUGUUCUACAGGACAAUAAGAAUCAUUGGUUUGUACCAACAAAGUCUGUAUGUCAGGUGUUCUACAGGACAAUGUGAAUCAUUGGUUUGUACCAACAAAGUCUGUAUGUCAGGUGUUCUACAGGACAAUAAGAAUCAUUGGUUUGUACCAACAAAGUCUGUAUGUCAGGUGUUCUACAGGACAAUAAGAAUCAUUGGUUUGGACCAACAAAGUCUGUAUGUCAGGUUUGUAUAGACCAAUGUGAAUCAUUGGUUUGGACCAACAAAGUCUGUAUGUCAGGUUUGUAUAGACCAAUGUGAAUCUUUGGUUUGGACCAACAAAGUCUGUAUGUCAGGUGUUCUACAGGACAAUAAGAAUCAUUGGUUUGGACCAACAAAGUCUGUAUGUCAGGUGUUCUACAGGACAAUAAGAAUCAUUGGUUUGUACCAACAAAGUCUGUAUGUCAGGUGUUCUACAGGACAAUAAGAAUCAUUGGUUUGUACCAACAAAGUCUGUAUGUCAGGUGUUCUACAGGACAAUAAGAAUCAUUGGUUUGUACCAACAAAGUCUGUAUGUCAGGUGUUCUACAGGACAAUAAGAAUCAUUGGUUUGUACCAACAAAGUCUGUAUGUCAGGUGUUCUACAGGACAAUAAGAAUCAUUGGUUUGUACCAACAAAGUCUGUAUGUCAGGUGUUCUACAGGACAAUAAGAAUCAUUGGUUUGUACCAACAAAGUCUGUAUGUCAGGUGUUCUACAGGACAAUAAGAAUCAUUGGUUUGUACCAACAAAGUCUGUAUGUCAGGAUUGUAUAGACCAAUGUGAAUCAUUGGUUUGUACCAACAAAGUCUGUAUGUCAGGUGUUCUACAGGACAAUAAGAAUCAUUGGUUUGUACCAACAAAGUCUGUAUGUCAGGUGUUCUACAGGACAAUGUGAAUCAUUGGUUUGUACCAACAAAGUCUGUAUGUCAGGUGUUCUACAGGACAAUAAGAAUCAUUGGUUUGGACCAACAAAGUCUGUAUGUCAGGUUUGUAUAGACCAAUGUGAAUCAUUGGUUUGGACCAACAAAGUCUGUAUGUCAGGUUUGUAUAGACCAAUGUGAAUCUUUGGUUUGGACCAACAAAGUCUGUAUGUCAGGUGUUCUACAGGACAAUAAGAAUCAUUGGUUUGGACCAACAAAGUCUGUAUGUCAGGUUUGUAUAGACCAAUGUGAAUCAUUGGUUUGGACCAACAAAGUCUGUAUGUCAGGUUUGUAUAGACCAAUGUGAAUCUUUGGUUUGGACCAACAAAGUCUGUAUGUCAGGUGUUCUACAGGACAAUAAGAAUCAUUGGUUUGGACCAACAAAGUCUGUAUGUCAGGUUUGUAUAGACCAAUGUGAAUCAUUGGUUUGGACCAACAAAGUCUGUAUGUCAGGUUUGUAUAGACCAAUGUGAAUCUUUGGUUUGGACCAACAAAGUCUGUAUGUCAGGUUUGUAUAGACCAAUGUGAAUCAUUGGUUUGUACCAACAAAGUCUGUAUGUCAGGUGUUCUACAGGACAAUAAGAAUCAUUGGUUUGUACCAACAAAGUCUGUAUGUCAGGUGUUCUACAGGACAAUAAGAAUCAUUGGUUUGUACCAACAAAGUCUGUAUGUCAGGUGUUCUACAGGACAAUAAGAAUCAUUGGUUUGGACCAACAAAGUCUGUAUGUCAGGUUUUGUAUAGACCAAUGUGAAUCAUUGGUUUGGACCAACAAAGUCUGUAUGUCAGGUUUUGUAUAGACCAAUGUGAAUCAUUGGUUUGGACCAACAAAGUCUGUAUGUCAGGUUUUGUAUAGACCAAUGUGAAUCAUUGGUUUGGACCAACAAAGUCUGUAUGUCAGGUUUUGUAUAGACCAAUGUGAAUCAUUGGUUUGGACCAACAAAGUCUGUAUGUCAGGUUUUGUAUAGACCAAUGUGAAUCAUUGGUUUGGACCAACAAAGUCUGUAUGUCAGGUUUUGUAUAGACCAAUGUGAAUCAUUGGUUUGGACCAACAAAGUCUGUAUGUCAGGUUUUGUAUAGACCAAUGUGAAUCUUUGGUUUGUAUCAACAAAGUCUGUAUGUCAGGUUUUGUAUAGACCCAUGUGAAUCAUUGGUUUGGACCAACAAAAUUUGAAGCUAAAAAGUUGACCCUGUCCAUUUUUCUCUUACUGUUUAUAGUUUAAGAGAUAUGAGCCAAAACUGUAGUUUGACCCCAUGUUCUAUUUUUAGACGCAGUGGUCAUGUUGGCUGAUCAAGCUGGACUAAAAAUCACAAAAUCAUAUUUGACAGCUUAUAGAUGUAGCAGACAUACUUUGGUUUCAAUUUAUUGAGCAGUUUCAGAGAAGAAUUUUUAAAGAAAAAUUUAUAGACGACAGACACAAAGUGAUGGCAAAGGAUCAUAAUGCCCUUCAAGCCAGGUGAGCUAAAAAUGAAGAGGUAUAAGCUGACAAAAAAAACCUGUCCAAAUAAACAAGGUGGGUUGAAAUCAGAACUAAGCAAAAUAUACCAUGAUAAAAAUAGAAUAUCUAUAAAUAGAUCAGGAUAUACCAUGAUAUUGAUAAAAAUAGAA